UGAGUUUGAUCAUGGCUCAGGACGAACGCUGGCGGCGGGCCUUACACAUGCAAGUCGAAGGAUAGGCGGGGAGUUUACUCCCUGUGGAGACUGGCGGAUGGGUGAGUAACGCGUAGGCAACCUGCCUUUAACCCGGGAAUAACGUGCCGAAAGGUGCGCUAAUGCCCGAUGAUUCGCGCGCUCUGCAUGGAGCGUGUGUUAAAGCCUUUCGGGGUGGUUGGAGAUGGGCCUGCGUGCCGUUAGCUAGUUGGUGGGGUAACGGCCUACCAAGGCGAUGAUAGCUAGGGGGUCUGAGAGGAUGAUCCCCCACACUGGGACUGAGACACGGCCCAAACUCCUACGGGAGGCAGCACUGAGGAAUCUUGCGCAAUGGGCGAAAGCCUGACGCACCCACGCCGCGUGCCGGAAGACGGCCCUAUGGGUUGUAAACGGCUUUUGACGGGGAAGAACGGACCGGGUUUUGAUCUGAUGUGACGGCACACGUUGAAUCACCACCGCUAAACUCCGGGCCAGCAGCCCGCGGUAAUAGGAAGGGGCCAAGCGUUGUCCGGAAUCAUUGGGUGUAAAGGGUGCGUAGGCGGGGAGCCUAAGUCUGAGGUGAAAUCUUACCCGCUGAACGGUGAAAUGGCCUGGAAUACUGGGUUUCUUGAGUGUAGAAGAGGUAGGCGGAUUUCAUGGGGGAGCGAGUGAAUUGUUUUUUUUAGUAAGCCCCCCCGCGGGGGGGGGCGGCGGCCUACUGGGCUACUACUGACGCUGAGGCACGAAAGCGUGGGGAGCGAACAGGAUUAGAUACCCUGGUAGUCCACGCCGUAAACGAUGCAUACUAGGCGUUGGCCCCUUGGGGCCGGUGCUGCAGUUAACGCAUUAAGUAUGCCACCUGGGGAGUACGUCGGCAACGAUGAAACUCAAAGGAAUUGACGGGGGCCCGCACAAGCGGUGGAGCAUGUGGCUUAAUUCGAUGCAACGCGAGGAACCUUACCUGGGUUAAAUUCUCGGUGCAACCUCUGGAAACAGGGGGUCCCUUCGGGGCGCCGAGGAAGGUGCUGCAUGGCUGUCGUCAACUCGUGCCGUGAGGUGUUGCCUUAAGUGGCGCAACGAGCGAAACCCCUA
rnacentral:rRNA from 1 species